GACGAACGCUGGCGGCGUGCCUAAUACAUGCAAGUUGAGCGCUGAAGGUUGGUACUUGUACCAACUGGAUGAGCAGCGAACGGGUGAGUAACGCGUGGGGAAUCUGCCUUUGAGCGGGGGACAACAUUUGGAAACGAAUGCUAAUACCGCAUAAAAACUUUAAACACAAGUUUUAAGUUUGAAAGAUGCAAUUGCAUCACUCAAAGAUGAUCCCGCGUUGUAUUAGCUAGUUGGUGAGGUAAAGGCUCACCAAGGCGAUGAUACAUAGCCGACCUGAGAGGGUGAUCGGCCACAUUGGGACUGAGACACGGCCCAAACUCCUACGGGAGGCAGCAGUAGGGAAUCUUCGGCAAAGGACGAAAGUCUGACCGAGCAACGCCGCGUGAGUGAAGAAGGUUUUCGGAUCGUAAAAAUCUGUUGGUAGAGAAGAAAGUUGGUGAGAGUGGAAAGCUCAUAAAGUGACGGUAACUACACAGAAAGGGACGGCUAACUACGUG
rnacentral:rRNA from 1 species